rnacentral:rRNA from 1 species
UAAAUUAAAUGCGGAAGAGAUAAGUGCUGAAAGCAUCUAAGCACGAAACUUGCCCCGAGAUGAGUUCUCCCUGAGACUUAGAGUCUCCUGAAGGAACGUUGAAGACGACGACGUUGAUAGGCCGGGUGUGUAAGCGCAGCGAUGCGUUGAGCUAACCGGUACUAAUGAACCGUGAGGCUUAACCUU